UGUGUCCCACAGCUAAGCUCGGUAUCAAUAUGGACACCCUGGGGGGAGCCCGGGGUGGCCAGGUUGUUUAAGGAGGGGUGGAUCGGGCCAGAGAGGAAACUCACCCGUAUGAUGCUGUAAUGGGAUCGCGCA
rnacentral:SRP_RNA from 1 species